AUACGCAGGGUCCAAGCAUUAUCCGGAUUGACUGGGUGUAAAGAGUUGCGUAGGUGGCAGGGUAAGUAGAUAGUGAAAUCUGGUGGCUCAACCAUUCAGACUAUUGUCUAAACUGCUCCGCUCGAGAAUGUUAGGGGUAGCUGGAAUUUCUAGUGUAGGAGUGAAAUCCGUAGAUAUUAGAAAGAACACCGAUAGCGUAGGCAGGCUACUGGGACAUUUCUGACACUAAGGCACGAAAGCGUGGGGAGCAAACGGGAUGAGAUACCCCGGUAGUCCACGCUGUAAACGAUGGAUACUAGCAGUUUCGGGCAUCGACCCCUGGAGUUGCGAAGCUAACGCGUUAAGUAUCCCACCUGUGGAGUACGAUCGCAAGAUUAAAACUUAAAGGAAUUGACGGGG
rnacentral:rRNA from 1 species